rnacentral:rRNA from 1 species
GUUUCUAUCUAUGAAAUGUUUUCUUCCAGUACGAAAGGAUCGAAGAAAAAAGGCCCAUGCUUAAAGUAACCUUUACCCUUACCUAAUGAAACCAAUUCAAUUAGGCAAUAAGGCAUAUUUUUUUCCCGAAGAUAACGCU